UCCUCUCAUGGGGCCUGGCAGAGAAAAGCAUGGCUAGGCCAACUCAAGGCACUGUGGGAUCAGGGACUGUUUGCACCAUGAGCUGGACUCCUCUUCUCCUCCUGUUCCUCUCUCACCGCUCAGUUUUCCUCUCUCAGACUGUGGUGACCCAGGUAUUCUCACUCUCUGCAUGUCCUGGAGCAGCUGCCAGACUUUAUUGCACCUUGAGAAGUGACAUCAGUGUCAGUGGUGCGCACACGUACUGGUAUGAGCAGAAGCCACAGAGUCCUCCCAGGUUUCUCCUACACUACUACUCAGACUCCAAUGAGAAAGGGGGGUCUGACAUCCCCAGUCACUUGUUUGGUUCAAAAGACAUCUCAGCCAAUGUAGGCAUUUUGCAUAUUUCUGGGCUGCAGCCUGAGGAUGAAGCUGACUAUCACUGUAGCAUCUGGUACAGCAGUGCUUAUCACAGUGACACCCACUGA